CUUUGUCCUUAUCUACCCAGCCACAGCUUCCAGUGCAAGUGUCCUUGUGCCCUGGUGCCUGAUAUCCAGCUCCGGCAGCCUAGAAAAUCAGUUAGGCUUUUCAGUCACAGCACCCUCUGUGACAAACGUGUGGAGCACCGCACGACUUCUUCAACCAGCUGGUUUUUCUGGCAUUCGAAUAAAAGUAAAAAUAGAAAACAAAGAGGGAGAAGAAAAGUGACAAGCUGAAACCUGCGAAGAGAAAGAGGACAAGAAAUGAACAAGUUGAUCUGGUCUUGAGGGAGGAGGAGGCACAGGAACACAGUAAAGGAACCUAUCUGAGGAGCUGCAGACAUGAACCAACAAAGGUCAAACCCCACCUGGAAAAUGAAUUGUGUCCAAAUGAGACCCCUUUAAUGACAGGAUUUGAAACAAUCUCAUUAUGAAACAAUUGCAGUCAAUGGGAAUCCUGAGUCUUCAAGGAAGUAAAAAGAAAAAAAAAUCUCUGUUAUCCUCACAUAUUUAAAGAUUCUCAUAUAAAAGCUUCUCCGAAGAGAACAGCUUGUCCUGUUUAGCUUCAAAGAAGAGAAUGAGGAGGAAGGUCGAGGGAAAAUUACAGAAAAGCAGACUUUGACUUGACACGUGGAAGGACUUCUCACUAAUGCUAUUCCCAAAUACAAUGAGUUGUUUCCGUGAUUGGAGGACUUGAAGAUGUAUAAGUUAUCCACAGGGAUGUUGCAGAGGAAAUUUGACCAUCAUAUGGGUGAAUUAACUGAUAUCUAUGAUCUUUAUUUCUCCUGAGAGUCCAUAAAAGGUAGUGUAAAACCAGCCCAAAUAGUGGUUUACAAGUGCACUGGGUAUGUUAUGUAAGAUUUCUGCUUUCCUGAUGAGGCCCCAAAGCUGAGAGCAAUGAAUGAUACAACAAACACAGCAUCCCCACAGAAUUUUCUAAGAGGUAGACAAAAUUGGCUCUGCAACCUUUAGCCUAUGGUCCACCACUGCCCUAUGUAAGGAAAGGUAAGAAAUUCAAGAGAGAUUAAUCAGAGAGGGAAGGCAAAUGGAAUGAAAUUAGUAGAAAUAAGGAGUACUGUGGCAUUUCUCUUCCCUUUGUAUAAUGAAAGAGAGGAGAAUGUAUCUUCUCCCAAAUUCCAAGCUAAGUGAGAGAGGGCAGAAAACCACCUUCUGAGAAAGAAACUGACGAUCCGUCACAGGGAAGAGAUAUCGACCUCCUUACUUAACAUUUUUGAGCUUGAUUAGAGGAUGAUGCAUUAGAUGCCAUUAUAGGACAAAUGUUUUAUGCAGUGAGAUAAUUGUUUGGAAAUUUGACGUAUACCUCUUGGAAUCUGAGGAGCAUGAAGAUCAGUGUAUGACUCUUGCCUGAAAUCAAGGAGAAAGGAAAACCCUGUCAAUGGCACAAAUUUCCAAAGUUUGGGAUGACAAGGA
rnacentral:lncRNA from 1 species